AGAGCAGGUUGUGUGGCUGCUCCAUAAGUUUAAAGAACUUAUGGGGAGGAAAGUCUGAGCUCUACAGGGCAAGGCGGUCGUUAAUAGCGACUGGGGGUAACCCUAAGGAAAGUGCCACAGAAAGGGAAACCGCUUUGUUAUAAACGAAGCAAGGGUGAAAAGGUGAGGUAAGAGCUCACCAGAUGAGACGGUAACGCCUCAUGCUUGGUAAACCCCGCCUUGAGCAAGGUCAAAUAGGUUCCGCCUUGAGAAGUGCCCCUUCGAAUCCUGAAUAUUAACAGGAGGCGGAACGGGUUGUGACCGCAAUAAUCCUGCAGCAAUGCUGGAUAUUAGAUGAAUAGCCACAAAAACAGAACUCGGCUUACAAGCCUGCUCUGAUU
rnacentral:RNase_P_RNA from 1 species